rnacentral:rRNA from 1 species
UACGUAGGGGGCAAGCGUUGUCCGGAUUCAUUGGGCGUAAAGAGCGUGUAGGCGGCCAGGUAGGUCGGUUGUGAAAACUGGAGGCUCAACCUUCAGAGGUCGACCGAAACCAUCUGGCUAGAGUCCGGGAGAGGAGAGUGGAAUUCCGGGUGUAGCGGUGAAAUGCGCAGAUAUCAGGAAGAACACCGGUGGCGAAAGCGGCUCUCUGGAACGGUACUGACGCUGAGACGCGAAAGCGUGGGGAGCGAACAGG